rnacentral:rRNA from 1 species
GACGAACGCUGGCGGCGUGCUUAACACAUGCAAGUCGAGCGGUAAGGCCCUUUCGGGGGUACACGAGCGGCGAACGGGUGAGUAACACGUGGGUGACCUGCCCUCAGCUCCGGGAUAAGCCUGGGAAACCGGGUCUAAUACUGGAUAUGACUCCAUGACGCAUGUUGUGGGGUGGAAAGCCUUGUGCGGCUGAGGAUGGGCCCGCGGCCUAUCAGCUUGUUGGUGGGGUGAUGGCCUACCAAGGCGACGACGGGUAGCCGGCCUGAGAGGGCGACCGGCCACACUGGGACUGAGACACGGCCCAGACUCCUACGGGAGGCAGCAGUGGGGAAUCUUGCGCAAUGGGCGAAAGCCUGACGCAGCGACGCCGCGU